rnacentral:rRNA from 1 species
AUUGAACGCUGGCGGCAUGCCUUACACAUGCAAGUCGAACGGUAACGGGCCUUCGGGUGCCGACGUGUGGCGAACGGGUGAGUAAUGCAUCGGAACGUACCUUUCAGUGGGGGAUAACGUAGCGAAAGUUACGCUAAGACGGCAUCGUCUCUGCGCAGGAAAGCAGGGGAUCGCAAGCUCUUGCGGCGAUUGAGCGGCCGAUGUCAGAGUAGCUAGUUGGUGAGGUAAAGGCUCACGAAGGCGACGGUGUGUAGCGGGUCUGAGAGGAUGAUCCGCCACACUGGGACUGAGACACGGCACAGACUCCUACGGGAGGCAGCAGUGGGGAUUUUUGGAGAAUGGGGGCAACACUGAUCCAGCCAUGCCGCAUGAGUGAAGAACGCCUUCGGGUUGUAAAGCUCGUUCGGCCGGUAAGAAAUCGCACAGACUAAUACCUAGUGUAGAUGACGGUACGGGAAUAAAAAACACCGGCUAACUACGUGCCAGCCGCCGCGGUAAAAC